rnacentral:rRNA from 1 species
AUGAUGGCGUCUUUCUGGCCGCUGUGCGCUCUUGUCGUACUGCUCGCCGCAGUCGGCUCCGUCUCCAUCGCAUCCGCCUCCGUGGCCGACGCAGGUAGCUCGUCUCUCAAUUCUUCGCUGCUCGCAUCGGCGGCUCCUCCGCCAACCGCCGUCCUUCCCCGCAAGGUGCUCCGCCCUGCAGGCGUGGGCGCAGACGUGCCGCACCGCGUGAGCCUCGGCUGCGCCGGCGCGGACGACAUCGCCAUCGAGCAGGGCCCGGGGACGACGCUGCCCAGCGGGGUCCCGUCCUACACGGUGGACAUAAUCAACCGCUGCUCCGGCGCAGGACGCGAAGCGUGCGCCAUCUCUGGCAUCCGCGUGCGCUGCGGCUGGUUCAGCUCCGUCACCCUCGUCGACCCCAGCAAGUUCCGCCGGGUGGCGCCCGACGACUGCCUCGUCAACGACGGCAAGCCGCUCUUGGCUGACGACACCAUCUCCUUCGAGUACGCCAACUCGUUCCAAUACAAGCUCUCCGUCGCCAAGGCCACCUGCGUCCACCCCGCCGCCGACACCUCCGACUAG